UACGUAGGGGGCCAGCGUUGUUCGGAAUUACUGGGUGUAAAGGGUCAGUCGGCGGUGCGGCAAGUCGGGAGUGAAAUCUCUGGGCUUAACCCAGAGGCUGCUUCCGAAACUGCUGUGCUUGAGUGUGGGAGAGGCGCGUGGAAUUGCAGGUGUAGCGGUGAAAUGCGUAGAUAUCUGCAGGAACACCCGUGGCGAAAGCGGCGCGCUGGACCACAACUGACGCUGAAUGACGAAAGCUAGGGGAGCAAACAGG
rnacentral:rRNA from 1 species